GAUAAACGCUGGCGGCGUGCAUAAAACAUGCAAGUCGAACGAGUACCCGCGAGGGUGCUAGUGGCGGACGGCUGAGUAACACGUAAGUGACCUACCCUCGAGUGGGGAAUAACUGCUCGAAAGAGUGGCUAAUACCGCAUAAGCUCGCGUUUUCGUUGAUGUGAGUAAAGCAGUAAUGCGCUUGAGGAUGGGCUUGCGGCCGAUUAGCUAGUUGGUGGGGUAAGGGCCUACCAAGGCGAUGAUCGGUAGCUGGUCUGAGAGGAUGAUCAGCCAGACUGGGACUGCGACACGGCCCAGACUCCUACGGGUGGCUG
rnacentral:rRNA from 1 species